AGUGAACGCUGGCGGCGUGCUUAACACAUGCAAGUCGAACGAGAACGGAUUAUAGCUUGCUAUAAUUGUCAGCUAAGUGGCGCACGGGUGAGUAAUGUAUAGGUAAUAUGCCUUUUACUAAGGAAUAACAAAUGGAAACGUUUGCUAAUACCUUAUACUCCUUAUUAACAUAAGUUAAUAAGGGAAAGAUUUAUUGGUAAGAGAUUAGCCUGUAUUGUAUCAGUUAGUUGGUGGGGUAAUGGCUUACCAAGACUAUGACACAUAACUGGUUUGAGAGGAUGAUCAGUCACACUGGAACUGAGACACGGUCCAGACUCCUACGGGAGGCAGCAGUGGGGAAUAUUGCACAAUGGACGGAAGUCUGAUGCAGCAACGCCGCGUGGAGGAUGACACAUUUCGGUGCGUAAACUCCUUUUAUAUGAGAAGAUAAUGACGGUAUUAUAUGAAUAAGCACCGGCUAACUCCGUGCCAGCCGCCGCAGUAAAAC
rnacentral:rRNA from 1 species